rnacentral:rRNA from 1 species
CCUACGGGAGGCAGCAGUGAGGAAUAUUGGUCAAUGGACGCAAUUCUGAACCAGCCAUGCCGCGUGCAGGAAGACGGCUCUAUGAGUUGUAAACUGCUUUUGUACGAGGGUAAAUCCCGAUACGUGUAUCGGGUUGAAAGUAUCGUACGAAUAAGGAUCGGCUAACUCCGUGCCAGCAGCCGCGGUAAUACGGAGGAUUCAAGCGUUAUCCGGAUUUAUUGGGUUUAAAGGGUGCGUAGGCGGUUCGAUAAGUUAGAGGUGAAAUCCCGGGGCUCAACUCCGGCACUGCCUCUGAUACUGUCGGGCUAGAGUUUAGUUGCGGUAGGCGGAAUGUAUGGUGUAGCGGUGAAAUGCAUAGAGAUCAUACAGAACACCGAUUGCGAAGGCAGCUUACCAAACUACGACUGACGUUGAGGCACGAAAGCGUGGGGAGCGAACAGGAUUAGAUACCCCUGUAGUC